rnacentral:tRNA from 1 species
GACCGCAUAGCUCAGUUGGCAGAGCAUUGGGCUAGUACUCCAAAGGUCGUAGGUUCGAAUCCCACCGUGGCCA